AGUGUGAAGAGUGAGAUGCUGCCGUUUGCAGCAACCCGGGUGGACCUAGAGCUGACCGUGAGGUAAGUCGGACACGGAAGCUCCGCAUCGUACGUUGUCGCCUGUACACGGCACCUGCAGGAGAGAAACAGACCCACAGACCUAGAAACCAGACUCAGGGGGACCUGCUGCACAGCACAGGGAACCAUAUUCGAUGUCUUAUGAUAACGUAUAAUGGAAAAUGAUCUGUAAAAGAAUAGAUGUGGAAAGAAUACGUGCAUAAAAGGAAUAUACGUAUAUGUAAAACUGAGUCACGUGACACCCGAAACUAACGCAGCAUGGAAAGCCACGGAAAGUCAUUGUCAGGCAGCAUCGCAAGUCAGCUGGACUCCCGUGGAGCAGUCGGUACACAAGGUCCCGUGGCGGUGGAUGUUGCCACCGGGAGGCUGCGUGCGGUGGUUGCUGGUCACUAACAGGCACUCUGCUCGGCUUUUGGUCAAGUCUGUUGAGAAACUUCAAACAAAAAAAAUUGUGGCCCUUCUCUCUGGCCGAUUCUGUGUGAAUGAAGGCUGUAGGUUCUGAACUUCUGACUGUCGUCCUUUGGGGAUUAGUCCACAUCGGUACAAAAACGGUUUCCUGUUUUACUUCGUGGCUGUGCGUGGAUGUGACGUCCGUUCAGCGGUCGUCCUUGGCGGCUGCUGACCUGUGCCCAUCUUCCCACUGUUGGCUGCCGCCAGCGGCGCUGCCAGAGGCGACGUCUUCUUCUUUUCCUUCGGGUCUUUUUAGGGCCGCUCCCGCGGCAUAUGGAGGGUCCCAGGCUAGGGCUCUAAUCGGAGCUGCAGCCGCCGGCCCACACCACAGCCACUGCAACGCGGGAUCCAAGCCACAUCUGCAACGUAUACCACAGCUCAGGGCAACGCUGGAUCCUUAACCCCCUGAUUGAGGCCAGGGAUCGAACCCACAACCUCAUGGACCCUAGUCAGCUUUGUUUCUGCUGCGCCAGGACGGGCGCUCCGUGAGUGAACCUCUUGUUGAGUACGCAGGCUUCUCGAAGAGUGCACCUGCCGGCAGUGCUGAGUGUGAGUCCUCGCAGGAGGAGAACAAACAGGGCAGGGAGCGGACACCCCGGUGCCCAGUGGCCUUUGUGUGUCCCUCUCGGUCCCUGCAGCCCCUCCCCUGUCCCUGGUAACCUCCUUUCUAGCUUCUGACACCUGGGAUGCGUUCUUCCUGGUCUGGAACUUUCUAUCAGUGCAACCACAGAACAUUCGCUCUCUCUGUCUGGCUUCUUUCACUCAACGUGUAUGUGAGGCUUCCUGACAUCGUGACACAGAGUUUCUGUUCACGUCCUUGACUGGGAAAUAUUCCGUUGUACGGACAGAUGACAGUUUGUUGAGGACAGGGGGGUGGCCUUCCCUGUCCUGCUGCUCUUACCGGCUUGUGGGUGUCUGUUGGGUGGCAUUUCCGUUGACAGUGCAUGUCUGGGCAGAGCGGUUUCCAGGUUUCCCGUCCCGGUUUAUGCUCAGGGCGUGUGAGCGGUGCCCUGGCGGCCCCGGCCAGUGCUUGGCCCUCUCCUUCCUUGCGGUUCCAGCCACUGCCACUCGCCUUGCGUUUCCCCAACGACCGAAGCGUCUGUGCAUCAAGCAGCUCCAUAGCUCUUUCGGGGAACUGCUGUUUAAAUCUUUUGCUCCUUUGAAAAAUUGGCUUGUCUUUCUUUUCUCUGCCGAUUGGGAGGAGGUGUUUACGCAGACGAGAGACGGGGCCUUUGCGGGUUCUUUGCGUUGCUGUUUCCUCUCGGAUGAUGCGCUGCCUCUUUUCCUUCUUAAAGAUGCUCUUUGAUGAACAGGUGUUCUUACUUGUAACAGAGUCCAGAGACUGGUCCUUUUCUUGACGCCUGCUUGAAUGCUGUGAAGGUGGUCGGUAUUAUUUUUUAGGGGCUUCGCUGUUUUACCAGGUGGGUCUGUGGUCUACCUGGAAUUGAUUAAGAAAACAGGGGAUGGAGUCAUAACUGAGGGUGACCUUUCCCGUGCAGGUGUUCAGUUGGUCCAAGCGUGUGUGUCAAAAAGCUCCACCCUUUCUCCACUGCUCUUGUCACGAGUCACGUUCCGUCCGUCUGUGUCUGCCCUGGACGUCGUCUGUGCGCCUUGACCAACGGAGCUUCAGAAUGAGCCACCGCGCCCACUGAUGUCUGUCCUCCAGCUUUGGGAGGGCCGUUUUAAAGGCUGUCUUGGAUCUUCUCGGCUCGCUGCCUUUCCNNNNNNNNNNNNNNNNNNNNNUCAGCAGGACACCUACGGGCAUCUCCAUUGGGAUUGUGUUGAUUUGCAUGUAAAAUCACGGGGUUCGAACCUUCCAGUCCAUGAAGAUGGUAUGCCUACUUAUCUGGGCCUGCUUUCAUUUUUUCUGUCACAUUUUUUGGUGGUGUGCAGUGUAGAGGUCUUUUAUUUCUUUGGUUAGAUUUAUUUUUAGGUAUUUUUUCAGGUGUGCUUAUUAAGAUUUUAUUUUUUGUUUGUGUGUUUGAAAUACAACUCAUUUGUAGGGAUGCCUGCUAUGGAUGCAUGGGUGAAGAAUUUGACAGUUAGUGUCCAUAAGGAUGCAGGUUCCAUCCCUGGCUUAAGUGGGUUAAGGAUCUGGUGUUGCCGUGAGCUGUGGUGUAGGUCGCUGCUGCAGCUCC
ensembl:lncRNA